CCCUUAGAUGUUCUGGGCCGCACACGCGCUACACUGAAGGAGGCAGCGUGUACUCCUGGAUCGAAAGAUUUGGGUAACCCGCGAAUCUCCUUCGUGCUAGGGAUUGAGGUUUGCAAUUAUCCUUCAUGAACGAGGAAUUCCCAGUAAGUGCAAGUCAUAAGCUUGCGUUGACUACGUCCCUGCCCUUUGUACACACCGCCCGUCGCUACUACCGAUUGAAUGAUUUAGUGAGGACUUCGGACUGGGACCGAUGCGGCUUUCGGGCUGCGUCGGUAUUCUGGAAAGAUGUCCAAACUGUAUCAUUUAGAGGAAGUAAAAGUCGUAACA
rnacentral:rRNA from 1 species